rnacentral:tmRNA from 6 species
GGGGCUGAACGGUUUCGACUCUGUAUGUUGAGUCAGGGGAAGCGUGUCGGUGCAGGCGAGAGACCACCGUAAGCGUCAUCGCAAACAUAUAAGCGCCGAUUCCAAUCAGCGCGACUACGCACUCGCUGCCUAAGUAGCGACUGGCGUGUCUGUCAGUCCGGGUUCGCCCUCGACCCGGGUACUGGCAUCAGCUAGAGGGCUUACCGAUUCACUCGGCCACGGAGUGAUGAGGAACAUCAAACAGUGGCUGGGAUCGUCAUCCUGGCUUGUUUGCGAGAUCAGGAGAUCCAAGUAGAGGCAUAGCAGACUGCACACGGAGAAGCCCUGGUGAUACAGCGGAGGACCCGGGUUCGAUUCCCGGCAGCUCCACCG